AAAUUGUCGUCUGUCAGAUUGUGAUGAACUCACAGAACUGAUCAGCAUGAUGAGUGUUGAUGUCUGCAUAUGAGAUAUCCUGAUAUCAUUUCGCUAUAAUACCAUGUAAUAUCUUCAUAACUGCAAAUACGUAAGGCAUCAUGCUAUGUGGUGGAUUUUCGUGGCCUUUUUGAAAAUGAAAGAUUUAGCAGAUUACGACCUUCAUGAUGUUGAUUUGAUAAGAGUUAAAGAUGCCUGGUAAAAAAUCCUACAAGUGCUUCCUUUGUCCUCGCAUAACAAAAAGGACUGACAGAUUUGCCAUAUCCAAAAGUCACAGACUUGUUGUUAACAGAAUUUCAGGACGAACACCAAGUGAUGUGGAUUUUCUCUGCAACAAGUAUCGUCAUGUGUGCAAGUCAUAUGUUAAGGGAUCUGAGAAAGCAAAGAAAAAAGUGCAGGCAUGUAAUUCUUCUACAUGUACUCCUCAGCCAUCUGUAACACCUGUUAGCCCACCUUCAGUGCAGCUGCCAUUCCCUAGUUCAGCUAGAGGACACUCCUCCUGUUGCAUCUGCAAGAGGCCUGGAUCAUUGUUGUUCCUGUGGAUAUCAUACACCAGAUAUUUAUAUCCAAGGAAAUCAUUAUUCCAGCUGGUGCCAGGUGUUGUCCAAACCAUCUCCAUGGAAAUAUUGGGGAUCUUGAACCCACAGCUGAUACAACAACAGUGAAUAAAUCAACAAUCACCCAACUGAUCAAGUUUUUAAGGUCAGAAAUUCAGAGGCAAGAGAAAACAAGACUUGAUUUUAACAGCGAAAAAACUCUCAGUGAUGCCGAGUAUCGUGAUCUCAUGGGAAUUUCCAAGGACUCUUUCAAAGAUCUUCUGCUCUUCGUGGAGGGAAAAGUUCGGCCUACUCCAACAAGAUCUGUACGGACUAGCUUAGCUAUUUUCCUGAUGAAAUUAAGGGGAGGUGAAUCAAACAGAGUACUUUCAACCCUCUUCAAUGUAUCUAAGUCCAGUAUUCGAAGAUGCAUUAGUUCUGUACGCGCAGCCCUUUCCGGAAGAUUUGUCCAUGAAAACCUGGGUUUCCAGCACAUCUCACGUGCAGAGAUUAUACAGCACCAUACAAGACAGAUAGCUCAAACUCUGUUCGAAACCUGUCCAGGCAAUCAAGCAAUUUUGGUAAUGGACGGUACCUACAUCUACAUUAACAAAAGUGGAAACUUUCAAUUCCAGAGGCAAUCAUAUAGUGUGCACAAGGGACGUCCUUUGGUAAAGCCAUUGAUAAUUGUUUCAACGACUGGCUACUACUUAUCAGUUAUGGGCCCCUACCUUGCAAGGAACAAUGACGCAAGUAUCCUAAAGCACGUCAUGAAGUCCAACAUAGAGGACAUUUGCAACUGGGUGGAGAAAGAUGAUAUUUUCGUGGUUGAUCGGGGGUUUCGAGACUCGCUGGAUUUUUUGGAAGAGCUUGGGAUCCAAGCCCACAUGCCUUCUUUUAUGUCCAAAGGAGAGAAACAGAUGACAACAGAGAGUGCCAAUACAAGUCGUCUUGUUACAAAGAUAAGGUGGGUUGUGGAAUCCGCGAACUCCCGGAUCAAGCAAUGGAAAUACCUUCAGCAUGUAUUGCCAACAAGUCAGAUUCCAUACAUAGGGGAUUUCAUAAGGAUUGUCUGUGCUAUUUGCAAUAGAUACAUGAAACCACUUUCUAAUGGAAAUGCUACUGAGGAUGAGUCCCUUGGAUGUAAGAUGCUUUUUCUAUCCAAGCAAGUCAACGCCUUACAACAACAUGUGGAGGAACAUCACCUAGAUCGGCGCUCUGUGUGUUGGGAACCAGUAGAUGAUCUAAAAGGCUUUCCGUAUCUUGAUGAAGAGCAGCUUCGAAAUCUCACUUGUGGGAUAUACCAGCUUCGACUCUCACCCAGUUAUGCACAGGAACACUUGGAAGGCAACUGCCAGAUACAUGUCCAUAAAGAGGAGCCGGGUCUUGUCAGGGUACGGUUACAGAGUCGACAUGUAUCAUCUCGAUCAUACCAGUUAUGGAUAAGAUAUGAUGAAGCAAGUGUUACAGCAUGGUACUGUAAAUGCAGAGCCGGGGCAAGAGUUGUUGGGAUGUGUUCCCACAUUGCAGCCAUUUUAUGGUUAUUGGGAAAUGCGAGGCACAGGAUCUCAAGUGGAUUUGGAGUUAAAAACUGGGGAGACUUUGUUUACGAUGCAAACAACAUUCCAACUCCAGUUGAUGAAAGUGAGUCCUCUGAGGGAGAACUUAGCGGGACGGAAGAAUGACAUUUAACUGUAAACAUUGUUAGAUUAAAUAUUAAUUGUAUAUCAACUGCUUAGCCUCAGAUCCUAAAAUCCAUGCAAUAAUAAAAAUAAUAUUCAAAACAGUUUCUAUGCAGAUCAAUAGAAUUUUAAAAAUAAUUCAUUUAUAUAACUUUUCAUUAUUUUCUAACUGUAGUUAUUGAUGCACUACACACCCAAUUGAUAUUUUUUCAAAAGUUUUGUUUGCUAAUUUUUUAUAUUAUUCAUAAUGAAAUUAUUUGUAUGUGCACAAGUUUAGAUUGCCUAUUUUUUUCUAUUAUCCAUAAUUAAAUCAUUUGCAUGUGCACAAACCUAUACAGUAUCUUAAAAAAAGAACUGAAGGAUCUCUGAUCAUGCAUGCAUGUAACAACAUGUUUGAUAAAUGGUGUUAAAAUUGUUGUGAAUAUUUGAAACUUAUUUGAGUGUAAUGCAUUUUGUAUGAAUAAGUUUAUGUUGUCAUGGAAACUUAUUUGUGUGUGUAUUUUAAUCUCUUGAACUACAUUUAUUUAUUGAUCAUAUUUCAUUUGUUGAUAUAAUACUUUUGGAAUAUAGAUUAAAAGAAUACCAUUCACAAUCUUCAACUUCAGCUGCUAUUAACAUUGAAAAAAAUUGUAAUUUUUUGUUGUCAUGGAAACUUUUUUUUUUUUACAAAUUAAGUUAUACAUAAAUGAUGUACAUGUAAUGUAAUGAUGUAAAAACAUUUUAAAGACAAUACUCUGUUUGAAAAUAUUUCAUAUUUAACUUGAUUUUGAUAAAGGCGAAAAAAACUACUCAAUCAAUCUUGCUUUUCCAGAAGGUGGAGAUUUUGUACUAUCUGGUUGCCAUAGAAACUCUUUUAUACAUGCACACAAAUGUGUUAUAUGUUUUUCUCAUAAUGUUAUUGUUAUUGUUGAUUAAGUUACCAAGUUGUUACAGUAUUAAAAUAUUUAUCAGUUUU
rnacentral:misc_RNA from 1 species